UACGUAGGUGGCAAGCGUUGUCCGGAUUUACUGGGCGUAAAGAGCGCGCAGGCGGUCGAAUAAGUCGAAUGUGAAAGCCCCCGGCUUAACUGGGGAGGGUCAUUCGAUACUGUUCGACUUGAAGGCAGGAGAGGGCAGCAGAAUUCCCGGUGUAGUGGUGAAAUGCGUAGAUAUCGGGAGGAAUACCAGUGGCGAAGGCGGCUGCCUGGCCUGUUCUUGACGCUGAGGCGCGAAAGCUGGGGGAGCAAACGGGG
rnacentral:rRNA from 1 species